GAAACAACGAAAUGCAAGAGAAGAGCAAGUGUAAAAAAAAAACAACUGUACCCUCAUGAGACUAUGCCAAUUAGAGCUAGAUCUAGUAGUGAAUAUUUGGGGCUGCAAAGGCCCUACGAUUUAGAAAAGCAAGGAGAGUCUCCUGUGGGUGUGCUCCCUUGAUAUCAUUGCUAUCUCAUAGUCUGACAUGGUGGAUGCCUUCAGUGCAGUCUCUGCCUGCUUCAGUUUCUCCAAGUUGACUAGAGCUACCUGCAGAGAAUACACAGAGGCCUGUCACUUGUCACGGCUUAGUAGGCUAUUGUUAUAACCUUGCCAUGCACACCGCCAUCCAAGCGAGUGCAUAAGUCCAUAGAGAACAAAAGGAAAGUUGCAAAUAAAAGUGAAAUUCAGAGAGCAUCUGGCAAGUAAGUGUGUCACAUAGCUAAAUAAUAUAUCAACAUUUAUAUUAUUCAAUGAUUUUUCAAGUAUUCAUUACAACUGGGAGAACUUGAGGACAUUCGAAGCAACCAAAUUGAAAAUCCCAGCCUGCACUGGGAAUUCAACUGAAAAACACUUCAUUUAAACCCA
rnacentral:sRNA from 1 species